rnacentral:rRNA from 1 species
UAAAAGUUUUAAACCAGGGUAAUAAACAGUUAUUAUCUUGAAACCCAAAGAGUUUGGCGGUAUCUCAGCCUAGUUAGAGGAGCUUGUUCAGUAAACGAUAACCCCCGAAAAAUCUUACACGUUCUUGUAGACAGUUUAUAUACCGUCGUUAUUAGAUAAUACUAAAAAGUAAAAAAUUAUCACGAGAUAAAAAGAUAUAAUAUAUCAGAUCAAGGUGUAACUUAUGAACGCGAUAAGAAUGAGCUACAAUUUAACUAAUAAACAACGGAAUUAAGUUUUAAACAACUAAAGGAAGGUGGAUUUAAUAGUAAUUUUAAAUUUAGUAAGUUAAAAUGAUAUUAGCUCUGAGAUAUGU